rnacentral:rRNA from 1 species
UACGUAGGUGGCGAGCGUUGUCCGGAUUUAUUGGGCGUAAAGCGCGCGCAGGCGGUGCGGUAAGUCUGUCGUGAAAACCCGCGGCUCAACCGCGGGCCUGCAGCCGAUACGGGCAGGCUAGAGUUCGGUAGGGGAGACUGGAAUUCCUGGUGUAGCGGUGAAAUGCGCAGAUAUCAGGAGGAACACCGAUGGCGAAGGCAGGUCUCUGGGCCGAUACUGACGCUGAGGAGCGAAAGCGUGGGGAGCGAACAGG